rnacentral:rRNA from 1 species
GGUUAAGCGACUAAGCGUACACGGUGGAUGCCCUGGCAGUCAGAGGCGAUGAAGGGCGUGCUAAUCUGCGAUAAGCGCCGGUAAGGUGAUAUGAACCGUUAUAACCGGCGAUACCCGAAUGGGGAAACCCAGUGUGACUCGUCACACUAUCAUUAACUGAAUCCAUAGGUUAAUGAGGCGAACCGGGGGAACUGAAACAUCUAAGUACCCCGAGGAAAAGAAAUCAACCGAGAUUCCCCCAGUAGCGGCGAGCGAACGGGGAGGAGCCCAGAGCCUGAAUCAGCAUGUGUGUUAGUGGAAGCGUCUGGAAAGGCGCGCGAUACAGGGUGACAGCCCCGUACACAAAAGCGCAUGUGCUGUGAGCUCGAUGAGUAGGGCGGGACACGUGGUAUCCUGUCUGAAUAUGGGGGGACCAUCCUCCAAGGCUAAAUACUCCUGACUGACCGAUAGUGAACCAGUACCGUGAGGGAAAGGCGAAAAGAACCCCGGCGAGGGGAGUGAAAAAGAACCUGAAACCGUGUACGUACAAGCAGUGGGAGCACCCUUCGGGGUGUGACUGCGUACCUUUUGUAUAAUGGGUCAGCGACUUAUAUUCUGUAGCAAGGUUAACCGAAUAGGGGAGCCGGAGGGAAACCGAGUCUUAAUUGG